UACGGAGGGGGCGAGCGUUAUUCGGAAUCAUUGGGCGUAAAGCGCGUGUAGGCGGCCCGGUAAGUCCGCUGUGAAAGUCGGGGGCUCAACCCUCGAAUGCCGGUGGAUACUGUUGGGCUAGAGUACGGAAGAGGCGAGUGGAAUUCCUGGUGUAGCGGUGAAAUGCGCAGAUAUCAGGAGGAACACCAAUUGCGAAGGCAGCUCGCUGGGACGUCACUGACGCUGAGACGCGAAAGCGUGGGGAGCAAACAGG
rnacentral:rRNA from 1 species